rnacentral:rRNA from 1 species
CCCUUAGAUGUUCUGGGCUGCACGCGUGUUACAAUCGGGAGUACAACAAGAUUGCAAAUCCUAGUGGAUGAGUGGUUCUUCGAAAUUUUCUGAAGACUGGGAUAGUUGAUUGAAAUUAUUCAACUCAAACGAGGAAUUCCUUGUAAUUGUAAUUCAUUAUACUGUAAUGAAUACGUCCCUGCCCUUUGUACACACCGCCCGUCGCUCCUACCGAUUGAAUGAUCCGAUGAAUAUCAUGGAUUGAGGAUUAUAGCAGGUUCGCCUGUCUUGAUCUUCGAGAAGUGAAGUAAAUCUUAUCAUUUAGAGGAAGGAGAGGUCGUAACA